GGCCUAUUUGAUAAUAAAUAAUAGGUCUAUUCUGCCCAUUGAUAAAGGUUAAAAGGCUGCAGUAUAUUGACUGUACAAAGGUAGCAAAAUCAUUUGUUUUUUAAUUGAAAACUGGAAUGAAAGAGUGAAUGAAAUAUAAAUUGUCUCAGUAUAAUGAUAUUGAAUUUAAAUUAAAAGUUAAAAUGCUUUUAUGGAUUUAUAAGACGAUAAGACCCUAUAGAAUUUAAUAAAAUUUGGUUUUUAAAAUUAAUUUUUUAAUAAGAUUUAAUUGACAAAUAUAUUUUAUUGGGAGGAUAGUUAAAAUAGUUAAACUUUAAUAAGAUUAAAACAUAGAUUAAUGAGUAGUUUGAUUAUUAUUAUAAUUAUUAGAAUAAAUUACCUUAGGGAUAACAGCGUUAUAAUUUUGGAGAGUUCAUAUUGAUAAAAUUGUUUGCGACCUCGAUGUUGAAUUAUGAUAAAAAUUAAAUGGAGAAAUUUAAAUUUUUAGUCUGUUCGACUAUUAAAAUCAUACA
rnacentral:rRNA from 1 species